GGGACCGGAGAGCAUCGCUGGAGAGAGGGAGCCAGCCACCGGGAAGCGCCAGGCCGGUGAACCGGAUUGCUCCGGCGGUGAGAGUGAAAACAUCAGUUCCUGGAACAGUAGAACUGAAGCCAUGGAGCAACAAAUUCCAGCUGUUUCUCAAGGAUCAAUCCACCAUGUUUUGAGGAUGUUGAGGAGCCUUGGUGCAGUGUUUGAAUGCUUCUGGGAACAGUUGGCAUCCUAGCCAGUCUGCAUGCUGCAGGGAUGUUUCUUGCCCAAAUGUGGCACCAAUAGUGGAGUAGACACACGUGGCUGGACAUCCCAAAUACAAGAUUACUUUAGCACCAUUUCAAAGUGAUUUGUACUGUAAGAAAAUUCUGGAUAUGCUGCCACUUCAUUAGCUCUGUGCUGUGUGCUAAAGAAGAUGAGGAGAAUGACCAGGGAAAAGAGUGCAGCGUGAAGUGCUACUGUGACACUUACGUGACAGGCUUUUCAUUCAAUCCUAACUAGUGUUGACAAAUGACUUAUGUUUCUGCAGAAUAGGAAAUUCAGUCAUCAUGUUGCUUAAAUCUAUAAAGAAGAAAUAUCCUGUGGCUUAGGAGUGGAGAGAAAGAACUAAUUUGGUGAUUCUUCCACUGGAUGCAGCUUUCGGCACACUCGACAGAUACCAGUGCAUCACCUAAUCCUUGGUGUUAUGAAGUGGGCUAGAAAUGUGAAAAACCCAUUAAGAUUGGCCUGUCAUCAAGGUGCAGAACCAGUGCCCGGGGCUGCACAGGGAGCAGCUGUGGCAGGUCCUGUUCAUCUGCACGUCCUGACAGUGACAGAUUGAUGGCCUGGCCACAGGCCCGGCUCCCUUCAACAGGCACAAGCUGUAACUGGCUGGGGCUGGAGAUGGACACGAGCUGCAGCCGCAGCGGAACCGGAGCCAUCCAGGGGCUGGGCCUGAGAAACAGGAGGGCAGAAACAGAGACCUGAGGCUGCAGCGAGCCCGAGCCAGGAAUGAGCUGGAGCUGCAAAAGAUGGAGCUGUUGGGGGGGCAGAAACCACUGCCCUGGAGCUGCAAAUGGGCCGCAGCCACGACGGCCGGGAGCUGAACCCAGAACCAAAACUGAGCUGGAGGUGUCCAGGAGCUGUGUCUGAACCAGCACACACAACCACCAAAUCCAAACCCCAAACUCAACAUCCAAACCCAAAAUCAAACAAACCAACCCAAAGUCAAACCCAAA
rnacentral:lncRNA from 1 species